CCUCUCGCGAGCAUGCUGGUUGGAGUGUUGCCGUGCAUUAUCAUGGCAAUGCUCCGAUACAGUGCUGUGCUCGCAGGAGGACAGGAGAGUCAGCCUGCAGCUGGAGGAGCUGCUGGCUAAAGUGAACAUGCCACCACUGGACCACCAGGACUUGCAGCAUUAUGUGUUAUGGAUAGAAAUUAAUAUAGGUAAAAUGUCUAUUUACUUUGUAUGCCUGUAUUAAGUAUUUACUCAAAAUGGCUGCUAGAGCACCCUCUCCCAUCGACUGAACACCUUGUGUCACAAGAUGGCGUCUCCAUCCGGAGUAAAAUCCCGAGAUGAUGGUGACAUCACACUUUGGAGGACGUGCAUUAGAUAAGAC